rnacentral:lncRNA from 1 species
UCAAUCUAUUCAUAUAAACAAAAUAAGGCUUUGUCUGUGCUUUUUCCUUUUAAAAUGAGAGGCAACCACUGCUUUUUAAUCAUGAUCCAAACAAAGAUGUUGCAUACAUGCAACAUGAGCAGUUUUAAUCUAAAUUAGAUUAAAUUUGAAACAAAAACAGAAUGGUUUGACUUCAGUUUUGUGAGACUAUACAUAAAAAAUAUCAGCAUGAAGCAGAAACAUCAGAGGAGCUGAACGAGACACAGAUUCACUUUCUGCCAGCAGGUGGCGCUUAAAGCAUUUCCUUGGUUUCUGCUGUAAACAAAGCAGCGCUGCACUUAUGAACUUUAAUAUGCAUUAUACAGAGGCAAGAUGAAAAGGAAAAAUACCAUCUAAGCUUUUCUAAAGACAGUGGAAAGCAUUAUGGAGACAAACACAGCCCUUUUGGUAACAGACCAGACCUGUUCAGAUACAGAUGAGUCCUUUUUGGAUAUAAAUGAGUUGUCUUCAGAUUCAGAGGGUGAGGCUGUCUCAGAUUCAUUUGAUUCUUCUGAAGAUACAGAUGCAGCCGAUAGCGAAAGUGAGGUUCAAAUGCCAACAGACAACAGAUGAUCCACAUCACAAAACUGGCACAGACACAGGGAUGGACACAGUACUCAAAUCAACAGGCUCCAUCACAAAGGCAGAGGCUCUGCUACUGAUAAUGAUUCAUGCUGCUGUACAUAACAUAACUGGGCUGUCUACUAGAUGACUUGCUGAGACUGAUUAAUUUCCGUUUUGGUAAUGAUGUAGUCCCAGGGUCCAAACAUUUGUUUAACAAGGUAUUCAAGAACAACUCAGAGAUAGUUGAGUUUCAUCUUUACUGUCGAGCCUGCAAAUGUCACAUUGGAACACAAAAACUAGUUACUGACCAGAACAUCACACAAUGUCCAUCCGGUAAUGAAACAGUUGAGAUCACUUCUUUAAACAAUGGUAGCUUCUUUAUCAAUGUGCCAGUUGCACCACAGAUGGAGUUAUGUAUGAAAAGUUGUCACAACCUGGUGGGAUUCUUUCAAAUCCUGAUAAUUUUUCAUACACUUUUAAUUCUGAUGGGUCCCCUGUUUACAAAUCUUCAAAAUUCUCUAUUGGCCUAUACAGCUACACUUGAAUGAACUGCCCCCUAAAAUGAGAUUUAAGCAUGUAAUCCUUGCUGGCCUCUGGUUUGGAACUCAUGAGCCAUCUAUGCAAGUCUACCUGAAGCCAUUUACAGAACAAGCAAAGUCACUCAGUUCUAAAGGUGUCUUGUGGAGAAAAAAUGGUGUUCAAGUAAAUAGCAAGAAAAAAUGGUGUUCAAGUAAAUAGCAAGAAAAAAUGGUGUUCAAGUAAAUAGCAAAAUUGUUGGCAUCUGCUGCUGUGUAG